ensembl:lncRNA
GGAAAUUGUGGCGGAGUGACUGUGAUGGGGCGGAACCAAAAAUGAGGAAGAUUAGUUCCGCCCGGACCAUAUAUCGCAAACACCGCCACUUCCGGGAAAGCCGGCGAACACAAAUCGGCGUGCUAUUGGGAACGGGUGUCUUGUUGAGCGUGGCGAUCACUGAUUGGGCAAUUUGGUGAAGAGGAGACACAUAAAUAGGGCACACAGGAAGGGCCUGGUGAUUCCCAGUAGUUACUGUGGGCGCAACGGAGCGGAGGAGAGAGUUGGAGAGAGAGUGUAUGGUGUACUGCGGAGCUUGGGCAAAGAGAGAUACACAUACAGGGCUGAGUAUACGAAUAUCUUUAUUGGAGCAUUGUGUUCAGAUGCAUUGUGUGAUGUGAAGUUAACACACAUUGAAGAUCUGCUAGGAUUGCAGGAAGGAGAUCGUGCUGCCAGUUGUGUCGGAUGUCGGUUAUCUGGAAGAGAAGUGGAGAGAUCCAGUGUUAAUGAAAGUGUGAGUACACUGAAAUAUUCAUCGAGUCAACAGUUAUUUUGCAAGUGUGGAAUAUCCCUUGUGAGUUGUGACCAGUGUGAGCGGCCCCACCGUAAUAGGAUUGGUGGGUGAGCCGGAACCAGCGAAAAAGGAGUCUGGUGCCUUGUCGUGGCUGUGACGUUCCCUCUGGCCGUCUGCUGCAUCGGUGCCCCCAACGUCCAGGAACUAAUCCCCGGUCCUAUGUGGUUUUGACCCUAAUUCACUGUGAGUGUGUGGAGUGUAGUGGGCGAGUCCUUUUCUUUGCUGUGUGUAUACUUGAAGUCUGCAGUGUCGUGCUGUGUCAUGUUGUCAGUCAUCACCCUCUAGGCUGGGAGAGAAAACCCUGUGGAGAAGAACGUGCACCGGUGUUGUGAGACGACCGUCUUUUAUAUACAUGCCCGCUCGCGGCUUUGGACCCCUACUCCGCCGAGUGGCGACGUGCCAACAAUAGCAAGUAAGGAACAGUGUGCAUAUUGUGGGGGACGACGACUGAGAGAAGUGUGGGCUGCUAUAUGAACAUCCAGCUGUGUAGCCCUUGUGUAUGAAUACCUGUUUGGGGAGUACUUUCAGAGGUUCGCCCCUGUCUAGAUCUCUGGUCCGUUGUUUGGAAGAGAGGAGAGGGAAGCGUUCGAGUCAUUCCUGAGGUACAUACCCGGUGGCACAAACCUACCUGAAGUCACUCAGCGUGGUGGCACCAGCUGAGGCCGUGGAAGGCCCAACGUGCAGCGACUUCAAUCUGUACUUCUAUCCACUCUUGGUCAAAUUCGAGAGGUGGUGUGUCUUUCUCCAUAUAUUCACUGAAGCUAAGUAAAUUUGUGAAGGAACUCUGUCUGUCUGUUACUAGUCCUACAGGUCUGAGCUUGAGGCUCUGAGUCGUCGUGGGAGUGUUUCCACGGUUGGAGGUGACCGUGUUGAGUGUUGGUCUGGGAAGUCUGCCCUGGUGAAGAAGACCACAGUUGUCGUGACAUAUACAUCUUCUCUAGACUCCCGAGCUGAAAAGGGCUAAAGCCUGACGUCCACCUCUUCGAGGGUCUGUGAGUUGUAUCCAUUCAGUAUUGUCAUUGUAUAUCCACCUGCAUGCCCAGAGCAAAGCUCCAGUUGCCCCUGUAUGCCCAUCUGUACGCCUCAAGCUAAGAGCCAGCGUAUUGCCCUUGUAUACUUACCUGUAUGCCUAAAGUCAAGCUCCAGUUGCCCCUGUAUACCCAUCUGUACGCCUCAAGCUAAGAGCCAGCGUAUUGCCCUUGUAUACUUACCUGUAUGCCUAAAGUCAAGCUCCAGUUGUCCCUGAAUACCCCUCUGUACGCCUAAAGCUAAGAGCUAGCGUAUUGCCCUUGUAUGCUUACCUGUAUACCCCUCUGUACGCCUCAAGCUAAGAGCCAGUGUAUUGCCCUUGUAUACUUACCUGUAUGCCCAAAGUCAAGCUCCAGUUGCCCCUGUAUAUCCCUCUGUACGCCUCAAGCUAAGAGCUAGCGUAUUGUCCUUGUAUACUUACUUGUAUGCUCAGAGUCAAGCUCUAGUUGCCCUUGUAUACUCACCUGUACGUCCAAAGUAAAGACCCAGUUGUCCUUCUGCAUACUUACCUGUACGCCCCGAGUGAAAUACCAGUGCAUCGCCCUUGCAUAUAUUCACCUGCAUACUUACCUGUGGACCUUUUAGGUGUUUCCAACCGUGGACCCAGAAUCUCGUGGCGAACGGCGUCAGGUACGCACCUCACCCAAUUCAUCAGAAUUACUUACCUUCUUUACUCUGCGUGCAGGGACUGGAAGGGCCCCACUGACGGUUCUCCUGCAGGAGAAACACAAAGGCACUACUGAGAAAAACCCUGUUGAGUCACGUGAAGGAAAGGACACAAAUUACCUACAGGUUUACCUGAGAGUCCCCGUGACAGAGUCAGAAGCGACUCGGACCUAUACUCUCUGGCCCCAAGAGUGGAUUUUAGAUUCCCUUCUCCCUUCCCUGCACACCUUUUAAAUAAUUUAAAUAAAGUCUGUUUUAAUUACA